rnacentral:lncRNA from 13 species
ACUUUUGAUUCUUCCCGUGCCCUCCAGUGAAAAUUUAAAACAGAGAACUUUAAACGUCCCGAAUGGAGAGAGAUGGGAGCUGGGCAUGGCAUGGGAAGUUCUUGCUCUUAAAGCUACGCCCCCUGGUGGACCCGGAAAGACAACACAUGAACACAUUCCCUCAGUUCCAUCAUCCAGUCAACUAAAAUUUCCUUUUUCAUACCUUUCUAGACCCCAGCUGGCCUCUGCACAGGGCAGGCAGUGAGACAAUCUCUAUGGAUUAUGUAUAGAGCAAGCUCAUUGCAGAAGUUCAUGUCAAAGAAGAAAGAGAUUUACAAGACCGAGAGAAGAAUCAGUUGCUUUUCCUUCAUGACACAUCCUGGCCUUGGUAUUGACCAUAGUGCAUUUUACCUAGGUCACAUGUCAUAGAAACAGAGACAGGUAUAGAGGUCAUACAAGUAAGCUUUGGAGUCACACUGGAUCAGAUGGACUUACUAAUACUUAGUAGCCACACAGACUUGGCCGCAUCAUUGAACGCCUCUGUACUUCAGUUUUUGCUUUGCAGAACUGGAAUAAUAAUAGCAUCCUUCUUAACAUUGCUCUGAUAAGCUAAAAAGUUAAUCUGUGAAACACACUCUACCACAGUAACUUCUCAGUGAAUAUCAGUAUUAUUUGUCAAAUCCAAACAGAGAACGUUUCACGUAAGUAUCUGAAGAUGUGAACACCAGGCACUGGAAUGGAGAUGAUUUUUAUUCACUUCCUUGCCUGAAUUCACUCUUUAGUGGUCCAGAUAUCAUUGUUUUUUUUCUUUGUUUGUUUUUAAAUUGCAAAAUGGAAACUUCGUCAAAACUGUCAUAUGUAUAAGGCUUUCUAAUCUUAUUCAACAGUAUUUUACUAACUGCUCAUCUUGCUCAAUUUGGAUUUGUGUUUCUAAGUGUCAGCAGGUCCUAUGUUAUUUUUUUUUUAUCUGUUAAAUCCAAACUGUACUGUCAAUAUGGUCAUAAAAGACCAUAUAAAUUAAAUUUUGUCUUUUUCUGUUGUUGUAGGAGCCACAUUUAUUUACAGUUAUGGUUACCAUCUCUUGCUGUGUGACAUAAUCACCUGGGGAAAUUGUAAACAUACCUCUGUCCUGGCCCACAUUCUGACAAAUUAAAUCAGAAUCUUUACAAGUAGGUCCUGGAAAUUGCGACUUGUAUUUAUCUUUAUAGGUAAUUCAAGUGUGCUGCCUGAGUUGAGAACCACUGAUGAAGGGACAACUAAGAAGACCAUCUAUUUUUUCAAGAAGGACUCAAAAUAUUUCAACAACUGUUCAUUAUUCGAAAUCUUUGAGUUUAUCAAGACAAGAAUUAGGAUAUUGAAGACUCCACAACAACCAGAUAGCUUUAAAACCAAACAAUCCGAAAGAAAAACUAUUUGGUUAUUCUUCAAUUAUUAGAAAUUUUAAAAUACUUAAAAAAUUUUAGAAACACUGCUAUAUCUUUACUUCAGCUUUAUUAAAACAAAAACAAAAACAGAAAAACAACUUUUCAGUGCAACAAAUAACAUGCUCAGGGUAACUUCCAGCUUAUUUUUUUUUCAUGUCUUGUGCUGCAUUUGGAGCAGGCUCCAAUCAUAUAUGUUGCAAUUGCAUUGUGAUUAGUGUAUGCCUGGCGUACAAUUGUGCAUCAUAAAUAAUGGAAAAAGGACAAACUGAAUUUAUAGGUAACAUAAUUACCUACUUUAGGACCAAUUAAAACAAUGAAGAUGUUAAAUUUACCUGAUGUUCCCAUUAAUUUGGUACAUGGUCUCAAACAACUAAAUACCACUGUACAAAAAGAUUCAAUUUGCCAUAUGUUGCAAUUCUAAUGUAAUUGCCAUUGAUCACUAAGUCACAUUCGUUUUGUUGCAUGAUUAACAAGUAACACUCUGUUAUUAUAGAAUCACCACCAGUCAUGUGCAGAAUAACAUGAAAGUCAAUUCUUAUAUAUUGCCAAAUAAAAAAUAUUUAAGAAACCA